UCUAUGUCUGCUGUUAUAUAAAUACUGGAAGUAAAAUCCCAUUCAUUUUCUUCUUAGGGGAAUAACUUAUGAACUGUUAAAGAUUGGCCUACUGUGAGCUACAAGGCUGCUUAAUCAAUGGUUAUUUCAUUAUUCCAACUUAUUUUUGAAAUAAUAUUUCAAACUGACUCAUGGUUUCUGUCUAGGGUUUCAUUCCAGUUUCCAGUUUCAUGAUAUACUGGUGGGGAUUUCCGGUGAGAACAGGUGGUACCAUGGUGACUCAGCAGAUCAGAACGGACAUCCCCAUGCAGGGUGGUUGCUGUGUUUGUGGGAACAGGGGACCUUUUUGCUGUGAUGCUGCUGGUGUGGACGCACCUCCACAUAAAUGAUCUGAAGGUCAACAACAUAUCAUGAUGCCCUGUGAAAAGACGGUUUCAGUCAUACACCAUGUCAUUAAGAGGACUAUUACUUAUGCAAAACUACAGCCCCAGCUGGAUCAUUCACCAAAGCUAUGGAGAAACUGAAAAACCUGAGAGAGGAAGUGACCAAGAACGCUGGAGCAGACAUACAUACUUGGGAUUGGUUGAAUUAAUUUUUUGGGGUCUUGGGGACAAUGGUUAACUAAAGUGGGCAUCAUAAUAGGCAUUGUUAUUUUUGUGUUUCUUUUGUUGUUCUGUUGUAUUGUGCCUUUCAUCAGAUCAAUGAUGGCCAGUGCUGCAGCCAAACAGAUAAUUAAUGUGUCAGUGAGGCCAACUGGAGUGGACAUUGGAUGUACCAACAUGCAUACAGUGAGACCUGGACUGGAUGAACUGGAUGAAGUUCAUUUAAAUCAAAUGUAAAAUGUGAUUAUUUUUGGAAAGAAAGGGGAUGCUAAAGGUCUUAAGCAAGUCGUUGUCCAUGUUACGAGCCAAUGCAACCAGAAAAGGGGACGAUAAAGAAAGACUGCAUAUUUUCUUAUUAUUUGAAAGAAUUCAUCAUUUAACCUUCAUUUAUCAGUAUAUAGUUUGUCUUUUUUCAACAUUGAUAAAGGCAUCAAAGUAUGAAAAGAAGAAAGGAUCGAUGAGCACCUCAGUGCUUAGCAAACUGGAGGUUUAAAAACCCACUAUCUACUCCAACACCAGAUAGCGCUGAAAGGCAAUGAGAGUUGCCUGAGAGCUCCUCUGGCAACGAAGGACAGCAUCAUCAGAUAGCGCUCCAGGCUACCGGAAAUGCUUGGAGUUCCUCUGGCAGCGGGGGAUAAACCAGUGUAUCAUUUAUUGCAUUACAUUACUUUGUUUUUACUCUUUUUGAUCAUUUGACUAAUCAUUCAUAUACUCUGCAUAACCAUGACAACCAUGGGCAAGGCUAAGACAUCUCAUGCACAUGCUUUAAUACACAUUGUUGAUUUGUUUUGACUCAUUUGACCCCCAAGAAUGUAUAGGUAGGGAAGCAGAUUAUUUUACUCUUUUCUAGUCAAUUGUGGGGAGAGAUGUUUGGAUCUGACUUCCUCUGGAGUGCAGCAACGUAAAGAAAACAUUUGUUAAGAGGCAAUGAAGGACCAUUAAUAGUUCAUAGACAGACAGAAAGAGAGGUGGACUUGUGAUGUUGCACUCUAGGCAAAGGGCAUAGUGGUGAGACUUGGUAAAGUCUCGGAGGGGGGAAUAUAUUGUGUUAUUCUAUGUUAUUUACUCAAUAUGGUAUUAUCUUACUUAAUAUAUAGUAUAAAUGACUAUGAAAGUAAUCAAUAUACUGAUCAAUAUGCUGAGUUAUUCCCAAAUACUGGAUGUCUUAAAGAGGGUUGGAUGUAUAAAGGACCUCCCACUGGGAGGUGCCGGUAGUCUUCCAUUGAAUUGCACCUAUGUACUAAAAUAACCCGUGUGUAUUGCCCCUGUGAACUUUGGGUGAUUUCCAGAGGCUGACAGCAGUGGUAAACAAAUAUGAUGAAUGUCUCAUGUGACCACAGCCAAAAAUAGGAACAGGCAAAAUAGAAGUUUUAUGAAAAAAUUGUUGAUUUGGCCAAAUUCCACCAUUAAAAAAUGGACUAAGUUGACUAGUGAUAAAGUGUGGCAAACCGGGCAGGCAGUGCCAAUUAUAAACCGGAACCACAAACUUUGGUAAGAGAAAGGGGUAUAAAAGGAGUGCAUGGACAGACAGAGGAUUCAGAUGCGGCGGCCGUCAUCUCGGCCAUAUUGUUGUGUUCAAUAAAGUCUUAUUUUGACAUCUGGAA